rnacentral:rRNA from 1 species
UACAGAGGCCUCGAGCGUUGUUCGGAAUUACUGGGCGUAAAGGGAAUGUAGGUGGUGACGUAAGUCAGAUGUGAAAGCCCUGGGCUUAACCCAGGAACUGCAUUUGAUACUGCGUUGCUUGAGUAUAAUAGAGGUGGGCGGAAUUCCCAGUGUAGGAGUGAAAUCCGUAGAUAUUGGGAGGAAUACCGAUGGCGAAGGCAGCCCACUGGCUUAUAACUGACACUGAGAUUCGAAAGCGUGGGGAGCAAACAGG